rnacentral:rRNA from 1 species
GAUGAACGCUGGCGGCGUGCCUAAUACAUGCAAGUAGAACGCUGAAGCUUGGUGCUUGCACCGAGCGGAUGAGUUGCGAACGGGUGAGUAACGCGUAGGUAACCUGCCUCUUAGCGGGGGAUAACUAUUGGAAACGAUAGCUAAUACCGCAUAAAAGUCGAUAUCGCAUGAUAUUGAUUUGAAAGGUGCAAAUGCAUCACUAAGAGAUGGACCUGCGUUGUAUUAGCUAGUUGGUGAGGUAACGGCUCAACAAGGCGACGAUACAUAGCCGACCUGAGAGGGUGAUCGGCCACACUGGGACUGAGACACGGCCCAGACUCCUACGGGAGGCAGCAGUAGGGAAUCUUCGGCAAUGGGGGCAACCCUGACCGAGCAACGCCGCGUGAGUGAAGAAGGUUUUCGGAUCGUAAAGCUCUGUUGUAAGAGAAGAACGAGUGUGAGAGUGGAAAGUUCACACUGUGACGGUAACUUACCAGAAAGGGACGGCUAACUACGUG